UACAGAGGGUGCAAGCGUUAAUCGGAAUGACUGGGCGUAAAGGGUGCGUAGGUGGCUUUUUAAGUUAGAUGUGAAAUCCCUGGGCUUAACCUAGGAACUGCAUUUAAUACUGGGAAGCUAGAGUAUGGGAGAGGUAAGUGGAAUUUCCGGUGUAGCGGUGAAAUGCGUAGAUAUCGGAAGGAACACCAGUGGCGAAGGCGGCUUACUGGCCUAAUACUGACACUGAGGCACGAAAGCGUGGGGAGCAAACAGG
rnacentral:rRNA from 1 species